rnacentral:rRNA from 1 species
AGAAUCAACGCUGGCGGCGUGCCUAACACAUGCAAGUCGCACGAGAAAGGGACUUCGGUCCUGAGUAAAGUGGCGCACGGGUGAGUAACACGUGAAUCAUCUACCUCCGAAUGGGGAAUAACUGAGAGAAAUCUUAGCUAAUACCGCAUAAUACCUACGGGUCAAAGCAGCAAUGCGUUUGGAAAGGAGUUCGCGGUCGAUUAGUUAGUUGGCGGGGUAAUGGCCCACCAAGACGAUGAUCGAUA